UACGGAGGGGGCUAGCGUUGUUCGGAAUUACUGGGCGUAAAGCGCACGUAGGCGGCUUUGUAAGUUAGAGGUGAAAGCCCGGAGCUCAACUCCGGAACUGCCAUUGAAACUGUUUAGCUUGAGGACGAGAGAGGUGAGUGGAAUUCCCAGUGUAGAGGUGAAAUUCGUAGAUAUUGGGAAGAACACCGGUGGCGAAGGCGGCUCACUGGCUCGUAUCUGACGCUCAGGCGCGACAGCGUGGGGAUCAAACAGG
rnacentral:rRNA from 1 species